rnacentral:rRNA from 1 species
AACGAACGCUGGCGGCGCGCCUAAUACAUGCAAGUCGAGCGAGAAGGUGUAGCAAUACACUUGUAAAGCGGCGAACGGGUGAGGAAUACAUGGGUAACCUACCCUCGAGUGGGGAAUAACUAGCCGAAAGGUUAGCUAAUACCGCGUACGCUUCCGGAACUGCGGUUCCGGAAGGAAAGCGAUACUGUGAGUAUCGCGCUCUUGGAUGGGCUCAUGUCCUAUCAGCUUGUUGGUGAGGUAACGGCUCACCAAGGCUUCGACGGGUAGCUGGUCUGAGAGGACGAUCAGCCACACUGGCACUGCGACACGGGCCAGACUCCUACGGGAGGCAGCAGUAAGGAAUAUUGCGCAAUGGACGACAGUCUGACGCAGCGACGCCGCGUGGGGGACGAAGGUC